rnacentral:lncRNA from 1 species
AUGCGCGCAUGGGACAGGCUGGGACACCUCCACGACGCGGGGGGUGCCACAGCCCCUGCCCUGGGCCCCAGCCCUCCGCUCGGAGCUGCCGCGCGCUGCUCCUUCCCGUUGCGUUGCGAGCGCGGGACGGAGCCACGCUUCCCUGGGGCUGGUCCCCAUCCCCGUGCCGGCACCGCUCGUGCAGGAGCCGUGCACCAGCACCGUGCUGCCUGCGACCAGCCCCACGGCCGCUGGUCCCGCAGUCGGUGGCAGUGCACAGCGGCACGGCGCUUGCGCGUGGCCCCGUGCCGGGGGUGCCCGGUGCCUGCAGCUGCUGCCACCAGGGCCUGCGCGAAGGUGCGCGUGGUGCGGGGGCACCGUGGCAGCAUGUGUGUGAUACCGGGGGGUCCCCUACCAUCCGAGAAGGUGCUUUGGGGCUGUACAAGGUGUUUGGGAAUUUCCUUCCUAUCGCACCCCUUUUCCCCCCAGCUUCAGCCAAAACCUGUCAGCACCGUGGCUGCAACCCAGCCCCACGGCAGCCAAAAACCCACCACUUUUGUCCACUCCCCUCUGUUAUUCCCAGCUCAGAGCCAUCUGUCACCGCCGCCCCCAUCUCUGUCAGCGUUUCAGCCCCAAACCUCUGCACACCCAUGCCACAGCCCCCAGCCCAGCCGGGGCCAUGGGCAUCCCCGUGCCGCUGGUGUCCCCUCACUGCAACUGUCCCCGUGCCGCCAGCAUCCCUCACCACAACUGUCCCCGUGCCGUGGCUGUCCCCGUGCCACCGGCGUCCCCUCACCGUGGCUGUCCCCGUGCCGCGGCUGUCCCCGUGCCACCGGCGUCCCCUCACCGCGGCUGUCCCCACGCAGCGGGCACCUUGCUGCGCCCUGGUGCCGCGGUGCCGGCGGCCGCGGGAGCUGCCCAGGGCACAGGGCAGCGCUGCGGGACAGGGGUCCGCAGGGGGGAUGGUGGCACCGGGGGUCCGCAGGGCCCGGCCUGCACGGCGUGGGGCCACGCGGGGCGGCCAAGCCAGCCCUGGGGACGGCGGCCCGGCGCCUCUCUUGGCCGAGCCGUGCGCGGGCUGGCGGCCCCGUGGCUCUGUCCCCCGCGCGCUUGGGGCAGGCUCCAAGGGGUCGUCCCCACGAGCCCCGCGGGAGGGUCAGACACGCAGCAGUCCCUCUCUGGGCCGGGGGACGCAGCACGGGCUGCCCGGCCCAGCUGGGAGCCAAGCCUCCAGUUAUUUAUUUUUACACAUUGUACUACGAUUCCCGUUUUCUACUUUGUUUGUACCUUUUGUAUCGUGUCUCGCUGAGCUGCAUGUAUUGGGCGCUGCUCAUCGGCCUGCACACCGGGCUGCUCCAGCACGGCCUGGACCCAAGUGCCAACUUUCAAAGAAAUGCCUUAAUAAACCACACUUGUUUGUACAGAGAUGAGCACGGUUGCUGCUGCUGGUGCCGGUGCUGGGGGAGGCGCUGGCGGGGCGGGAGAAGGCCCAGGCCCUGCGGGGCUCGGCAGGGGCUCGCUGGCCUGAGACGCCCUCUGCCCCCAGGCCCCCAGGCGGGGUCUGCGCCUGCGCUUGGCUCUGGGCGCUUGCCUGGGCAGGAGGGCCAGGCCCUGCUGCGGCCGGGGCUGGGUUUGGCCCUUGUGGCAGCCCUGCUGCCCGGCCGAGGGUGCCUGACCUCAGCCUCAGCAACACGUUCGGCUGGCAUGCGAGGUGUGGGUAGUUCAGCCUCGAGCACAGCGGAGGACGUGAAGAGCCUGAGCACAGCACCGCUGGCCCAGCUCAGGUGCCCUGACUCCUCCGGUGGCACGCGGGGACAGCUCUGCGGGGUGGCUGCAUGGGCUGCAGUGCACGCGCAUUGCUGCAGUGCACAUACAGUGCUGCGCUGCACACGCAUUGCUGCAGUGCACACGCAUUGCUGCAGUGCACGCGCGUUGUUGCAGUGUACGCGUGUUGUUGCAGUGCACACAUUGCUGCAGUGCACACGCGUUGUUGCAGUGCAUGCACAUUGCUGCAGUGCACGCGCAUUGCUGCAGUGCACACACAUUGCUGCAGUGCACACGUGUUGUUACAGUGUACGUGCGUUGUUGCAGUGCACGCGCAUUGCUGCAGUGCACGCGCAUUGCUGCAGUGCACGCGCGUUGCUGCCGUGCACGCGCGUUGUUACAGUGUACGUGCGUUGUUGCAGUGCACGCGCAUUGCUGCAUGCAUGGCCCUGGCUCGGCCACUGCCUGUGGCCAGGCCGCACACACACUCGUUCAUGA